AACUUCUUCAAGUACAAACUCUGAAAAGUUUUAUUCUGAAAAGUACAUCAAAUCUAGAAACUGGAGUGCGCAUAUCUUUGUAACACUUCUGUGUGAAGUACAUCAAAAGACCCAAAGCAAUAACCACCUGGGAUGCUGGAAAAGCAAUGUUAACAUUAAUAACUUUAAAACAUUUUUUUUUUUUUUAGCUCCGUUUGAAAUUUAUAAAAAUCCUUUCACUUCCUCUAUUCCGAGCUGACCGGUGUUGAUGCAAUGUUUCACUCCAACAGCUCCUUUCUGCUUUUUCUCCGGUCGCUCCAAGAGCCAGUCAAAGUGCCAGAGGGGAGUGUGAUGUGAUGACAAAUGGUUAAAUCCAACAGCUGAAUUAUUGACUGGAACCAAAAUGUGAAGACAAAAUUCCUGUGGGACAGGAGUUGAGUGGAAGCUGCUCUCCACUCUAAUUGCUCCCCGCCCACUAACUCGUUUCUUUCUUGGCAGCCCCGUGUUGAGAGUUACGGAGCGCUGAUGAACUCCACAACACACUUUAAGUGUUCCAAUAAUUAAAGCCCAAAGAGAUUGUCAAGUAACGGUCUGCCCUCUCACCUGUGGAGACAGCUGGGGCCAGUGCAGACUUUGUGACUCUGGAGGGAAUAUGCAAAUGUGCAGAGAUGGAGUUUAUCAUCCAGAACUGUUCUGCUCAAUGAUGGCACAAUAAGUGACAGCAGCUGGAGUCAGGAAGGAAGAAUUUGCAAAGUAUUUUUCAAAUGAAAGUGAGAAUAAUGAGACCUGUGUCUCUGGUGGAUCUCUGCUCCAAAACCACAAUUGGAACAAGUCUGACAAGCUGGAUGGCCUUUCGGCUGAUGGUAUUGCCUCAGGUCUGUUAUUUUAUAGGCGUCCUAAGAGAAUCAGUCUCAGUUGUUUAUUAUUUAUUUAAAUAUCUAUUCUAAUGCUCUUAAAAAUACUGAUGCUGCUUAUAAAACAUGAGUCACUAGUUCAGCAUAUUUGUACAUUUUUUCUUGUGUCUGAUUUAACAUGCUUGGUGUUUUUCUUUUUGUUUUUCAUAUUACGUAACAAAUAUUUUGUUGCGAAUGAUCAAAGAGGUAAAACGAAAGAAGCCUUUAUGUUUCGUCAAGCUUUUACUAUCAAAGCUGCUGUUUUUUUGUUUUUUUUUCCUUCCAUCUGAUCUGUGCCAAUUCAUCAUUGGAGAGGACAGAUUCUAGUUUAAUUCAUCUUCAUUCAUGUUCAUAGUUCACCACCAACACAGCUCCAUUAUAAACACGCUUUUGUUUAGGUUCCUUUUUUCUUAUUUUACAGUUCUAAAAUAUGUCUCUCUUUUUAUAAUUCAUCUGUUAGUACAUUGACUAGAGCGUGUACCAACUCUCAUUGAGAUCUGUUCUAUUCUCCUCUCUUCUAUCUGCUCAUGUAACCUGCACACUGUUGAGGUUGAAUUCUCUGCUCACCUGCUUUCAUUUUCAUAUUAUAAGGCCACUAUCGUCAGAAUGAAAAAUGAGUCACUGAUUUUGACUGAAUGGUGGUUAAUUAAGUCUGUGUUUACAAUUGUAAUCGCUUUUGAAGAACUGCAAAGUCAAAGUCUGAAAAUCCUGAUGCUAAAAAAUCUUUAAUCAUGUAGACGACAUAUGUGCUGCUAUUUUUGGUGUCUUACCCUAUAUGUAUGGUCUCAGAAAGAUGUUAGAAGCAACAGAUUGCAGUAAGCUCCAGCCUCAUUUCUUUGAUCAACUCUGCUUAAUUCUUAUUUCUUGGACUGCAGCUGUGCAUCCUUUCUGAAAAAAAGUAACAAAUGUUCCUCUCAAAAGAAUGAUAAUGUACAUAUUUUCUGUGAACUGGUUGAACUGCAUCACUCUAGGC